AGGACGAACGCUGGCGGCAUGCCUAACACAUGCAAGUCGAACGAGACCUUCGGGUCUAGUGGCGCACGGGUGCGUAACGCGUGGGAAUCUGCCCUUAGGUUCGGAAUAACAGUUAGAAAUGACUGCUAAUACCGGAUAAUGACGUAAGUCCAAAGAUUUAUCGCCUAGGGAUGAGCCCGCGUAGGAUUAGCUAGUUGGUGGGGUAAAAGCCCACCAAGGCGACGAUCCUUAGCUGGUCUGAGAGGAUGAUCAGCCACACUGGGACUGAGACACGGCCCAGACUCCUACGGGAGGCAGCAGUGGGGAAUAUUGGGACAAUGGGCGAAAGCCUGAUCCAGCAAUGCCGCGUGAGUGAUGAAGGCCUUAGGGUGUAAAGCUCUUUUACCGGGAUGAUAAUGACAGUACCGGAGAAUAAGCUCCGGCUAACUCCGUGCCAGCAGCCGC
rnacentral:rRNA from 1 species